GAGGUGUUUUAAAUUUGUUUGUUUCUCACUGCUCUAGCUUUUUAGUAAUUGGUAAUAAAUUACAUUAAUCUCCCUAUGCUGGGUGUGUUCUGCCUGUGACGAUCCCCUUGCCAGUUAACGACGGGGAUUUUGUUGGACCAGCAAGGGAGCUCCAGGACAGAAGCUGCUUCCAUGUGCUGCACAGCACAUCCAUAAAGAGCGGAGGGCAGAAGCCACUGGUGAGGAGAGCCAACCGCCAUCCUGGUGGCACCAAAGGGUUCGCUGCAAGUGUGCUCGGCCCCACCAGCCUCAUCAGGCCCCGGCUACCACCAGGCCACCAGCCCCCAGGGACAGGAGCCGCCGCCUGCCUCUUCACCCCACUGGGCCCCGCUGGUCCCACGGGAAGCGUCCCUGUGCUGCUCAGCCUCCGACUGUCACUCUGCCUUUGGCCGCUAUUAUCAGCAGUAAGCCGGGGCAGUCCCCGGCCUGGCAGGGCUGCUGAUCUCUAUCGCUCAGGCUAUAAGCUGCCCCUGCCAUGAACCUGACUGCACGGGGGGGCAGGCGGCCUGAUACAGUUUGGUUUCUUUUCUUAUUUUCCUACCCUUUCUCCAGCGCUCAGUCUUUUGUGUCAGCUUUCAGAACUGCUCUGUUUGACUGGCAGCCUGUCACAGAUCAGUUACCACCUAAAGCCGCUUGGCAGGGAGAGGUGACGGCCCAGGAAGGGAUCUAAGUGGGUUUAUCAGUGCUUCUUUACGCCUCGUGAGCUCCUUGACACAAAAGGAAAGGGUAUUAAAGAUCUAAAGCGAGCCCAAAAGCGUGAAAGCUCCUUAUAGGCUGCAAGAUGUGGAUGUGACUAAAUUUUUAAAUAUUUUGAGUUGAUGCUAUUCAUUUUGCCAAUAGAGUAGAAAGAAUUUUUGUUACAGAAAUGAGUGUAUGUUCCACUUGAGUGAGAUUUGGAAAAGGGAGGAAGUCCCUAAAUAUGUGCUUAGAAUAUUACAACUACCCUGUAUUUACAAUCCUGCAUCUGUUUUGAAUAUAUAUAAAAUCUGACAUAUUUCUUUAAAAAAAAAAUAAAUUGCACAAUCACUUAGCACAUACAGUAUUCAAUUUCCUGCUACUAUUGCUGAAUUCAUUUAGGGGCUUUAUGUUUAUUUGUUUGUUUAAGUUUAAACGUUAUAAUUUAUUAAGAAGGGUUGGCAAUUUUAAAAUCCUAUAAAUGGUAAGCAUGGAAAAGGUCCAGAAUUCAUUAGGUAUAUGCCAUAUCUCCUUUCAAGCUCUUUUAUGCAUGGAUUAUUGUUAAAGUAGUGUAUUUUUAGCAUGCCAAUGGCUUCUCACAGCACAUUACUACAACCAUAAUGGUUACACUAUAGGCAGCAGAGCACAAAGGCUUUUCCUUUGUUCCUAAUUUACCAGAUCUCAAACUCUUUUAUUGUCUGAUUUAAAUUAAAACACAAACAUUUCUAUGGGAGACAACGUCAGCAAGGUGUAUGAUUUAGGGGUGAUGAAAUAUAGAAAAAGCCAACCUACACAUCAGUGGUCAAAAUGGACAGAUUUUUCUAUCAUUUACUUUAGGGAACUUAUACAAAUAUCUAAAUCUCACAUAAUUAGUGGGUCAUAUUCCAGCCAUGGUGAAUGUCAGUGAGAGUUAUACAGGGAUCAAUAAUUGUUAUGUUCGAGAUUACUUUUUAUUUUCAUUUACUCAAAAAAAAAAUUAAAAAAAAAAAUCUGAAUUCUGUAUAUUUUUCAUAUAUUUACCUGAUUCAUUUUGAAAGAGAGUUUUUAAAGUGUUUGGGAUCAUAAUAACAUGCAUGUUUUGGUUGUUUUUUCCUUUCUUUUUUUUUUUUUUUUUUUCAAAUACAAAAGAGUAAGUCUCAAUCUGUCUUCUCUCGAUUAUGUAUAGUCACCCAACUUGUUUUUCAUGUCAUUAUAGCCCCUCCUAGCCUUCACAUCUGCUGUCUACCAUUUUCAUUGCUUAUAAGCAGCAGGUGAAUGGCCCAAACGAAAGAUUUAACAAGCCCUCAGUGGAGCUGCUGCCCUGAAAUUUCACUCCCCUACACAAUGCUUUUUCCCUCUCUUUGUCUGAAGCAAAAAGGGGUUUUCUCAGACAAUUGGCUUGACUGUUGGAUAAUAUUGUCAUCCCAUAGAAAGUUCUGCAAGUGGCUACUGAGCAGGAUGAAGUGAGUACUGUUAAAAUAUUUUCAUGGUAUUUCCUCAAAUUUGUAAGGCAGACCACUUAAAUCAUCCUCCCACCACUUUCCUGUUAGAAAUCUGAAGCAACUUGAGGAAUU
rnacentral:lncRNA from 1 species